CACACACACACACACACACACACACACAGUCAGGACACACACCUGGACUCUGUUCCAGAAAACAGGUGGUACAAGUGUGUACAGGUGAGUCAGGUGUGUACAUGUGUUAUUAGUCAGGUGUGUACAUGUGUUAUUAGUCAGGUGGUACAGGUAUGUACAGGUGUUAUGAGUCAGGUAUGUACAGGUGUUAUGAGUCUGGUGUGUACAGGUGUAUACAGGUGUGAUGAGUCAGGUGGUACGGGUGAGUCGGUUGGUAAAGGUAUGUACAGGUGUUAUGAGUCAGGUGGUACAGGUGUGAUGAGUCAGGUGGUACAGGUGUGAUGAGUCAGGUGGUACAGGUGAGUCAGUUGGUAAAAGUGUGUACAGGUGUUAUGAGUCAGGUGGUACAGGUGAAUACAGGUGUGAUGAGUCAGGUGGUACAGGUGAAUACAGGUGUUAUGAGUCAGGUGGUACAGGUGUGAUGAGUCAGGUGGUACAGGUAUGUACAGGUGUUAUGAGUCAGGUGUGUACAGGUGUUAUGAGUCUGGUGUGUACAGGUGUAUACAGGUGUGAUGAGUCAGGUGGUACAGGAGUGAUGAGUCAGGUGGUACAGGUGUAUACAGGUGUGAUGAGUCAGGUGGUACAGGUGAGUCAGUUGGUAAAGGUGUGUACAGGUGUUAUGAGUCAGGUGGUACAGGUAUGUACAGGUGUUAUGAGUCAGAUGGUACAGGUGAAUACAGGUGUGAUGAGUCAGGUGGUACAGGUGAGUCAGUUGGUAAAGGUGUGUACAGGUGUUAUGAGUCAGGUGGUACAGGUAUGUACAGGUGUUAUGAGUCAGAUGGUACAGGUGAAUACAGGUGUGAUGAGUCAGGUGGUACAGGUGAGUCAGUUGGUAAAGGUGUGUACAGGUGUUAUGAGUCAGG